CUUCCGCGCUCGAGGCCCCCCGGGAGCCCCCGGGCUGCACUCAGCGCGCCCCUACCCCCCUUCUCUAUCUUCCCAGACUCUGGCUACCCCGCCCCAGGGCCUCAAGAACCAGGUUCUCGGCACAGGCUGCGAAGCUGAGCAGGAAGAGGAGAGGGUUACCCCGCAGACGGGGCUCUCCUGGAGCAGCUACUGAAUGUUGCACGCUUGGCAAGGAUGACCUCUCCCCGCAAUGCAGGAGGGAGUACGAGAGUCAGCCCCAUAUUACGCAGUAGAAAACUGGUUGAAGAGGUGAAGUGUCAUGCUCAGGCACUUCCAGGCCUGAGCGCUUCCGGGCACCCAUCAAAAUGCAGCCAGAGAAACAUCCAUUCCCACACUGGGAGGAGGCACAGAGCACGGGAGAGGGUCUCAGGAACCUGCUGAUGCUGCCCAAGGACAUCCACAUGGGACCCCCUUAGAGAUGGUGGUCCCCCACAAGGAUUAUGGUCCCUGGCCAUCUGCCUUCCCAGCUGAGGAGAGAUACAUGGCUCUUGCUUCAGGCCAGAGUGAUGGAAAAGGAGCUUGGCCAGCCCUGCAUCUCCUAAUUCCUAGCUGUGUGGCCUUGGGGAAGCUUCUCUGAGCAUCUGGAUCCUCAUCUGGAGAAUGCCUACCCCAAGGUUUGAUGAAAUGACCAAGAGGCAUGAUGUCUGUCUGUUAGAAACCAAAAAGUGUACUGCAAAAGUGAGGGCUUAUUACCUUCUGUAUCAGGGAGGCCACAAGGCCAGGCACUCUGGUCACACAGCCCGAGUUCCAGUCCCAGCCCCAUCAUAUCCUAACCUGUGUGUCUUUAAGCAAGUAGCUUAACUUCUCUGAGCCUUGAUUUUUUUCAUCUGCAAAAUGGGACUAAUGACGGUAGCUAUCGCAUAAUACUUAUAGUUUGAGGAUGGAAUGAAAUAAUGCCUAUAAAGCAUUAGGUGCCCACCUGGCACAUAAUAAGUCUCAAUAAA